CCUACGGGAGUCUGCAGUGAGGAAUAUUGGUCAAUGGACGAGAGUCUGAACCAGCCAAGUAGCGUGAAGGAUGACUGCCCUAUGGGUUGUAAACUUCUUUUAUAUGGGAAUAAAACGUUCCACGUGUGGGAUUUUGUAUGUACCAUAUGAAUAAGGAUCGGCUAACUCCGUGCCAGCAGCCGGGGUAAUACGGAGGAUCCGAGCUUUAUCCGGAUUUAUUGGGUUUAAAGGGAGCGUAGGUGGAUUGUUAAGUCAGUUGUGAAAGUUUGCGGCUCAACCGUAAAAUUGCAGUUGAAACUGGCAGUCUUGAGUACAGUAGAGGUGGGCGGAAUUCGUGGUGUAGCGGUGAAAUGCUUAGAUAUCACGAAGAACUCCGAUUGCGAAGGCAGUUCACUGGACUGCAACUGACACUGAGGCUCGAAAGUGUGGGUAUCAAACAGGAUUAGAUACCCGGGUAGUC
rnacentral:rRNA from 1 species